rnacentral:rRNA from 1 species
GUCGGAUUAUUGGGCGUAAGAGCUUGUAGGCGGUUUGUCGCGUCUGCUGUGAAAGCCCGGGGCUUAACCCCGGGUCUGCAGUGGGUACGGGCAGGCUAGAGUGUGGUAGGGGAGACUGGAAUUCCUGGUGUAGCGGUGGAAUGCGCAGAUAUCAGGAGGAACACCGAUGGCGAAGGCAGGUCUCUGGGCCACUACUGACGCUGAGAAGCGAAAGCGUGGGGAGCGAACAGGAUUAGAUACCCUGGUAGUCCACGCCGUAAACGUUGGGCGCUAGGUGUGGGUCCCAUUCCACGGGGUCCGUGCCGCAGCUAACGCAUUAAGCGCCCCGCCUGGGGAGUACGGCCGCAAGGCUAAAACUCAAAGGAAUUGACGGGGGCCCGCACAAGCGGCGGAGCAUGCGGAUUAAUUCGAUGCAACGCGAAGAACCUUACCAAGGCUUGACAUGUACCGGAAACUCCCAGAGAUGGGGGCCCCGCAAGGUCGGUACACAGGUGGUGCAUGGUUGUCGUCAGCUCGUGUCGUGAGAUGUUGGGUUAAGUCCCGCAACGAGCGCAACCCUCGUUCUAUGUUGCCAGCACGUGAUGGUGGGGACUCAUAGGAGACUGCCGGGGUCAACUCGGAGGAAGGUGGGGAUGACGUCAAAUCAUCAUGCCCCUUACGUCUUGGGCUUCACGCAUGCUACAAUGGCCGGUACAGAGGGCUGCGAAACCGUGAGGUGGAGCGAAUCCCUUAAAGCUGGUCUCAGUUCGGAUUGGGGUCUGCAACUCGACCCCAUGAAGUCGGAGUCGCUAGUAAUCGCAGAUCAGCAACGCUGCGGUGAAUACGUUCCCGGGCCUUGUACACACCGCCCGUCAAGUCACGAAAGUCGGUAACACCCGAAGCCGGUGGCCCAACCCCUUGUGGGAGGAGCC